UAAUAUAAUCAAACAAAAUGAAAGAAUAAAACCCAACCAACAAAGCAAUGAAAAUGACAUGGUUUCCAGGCAGGGCCCACCCCCUUGUGAGGCCUGGUUCUCGCUCCACAGUCUGCGAAUGCUGCUGACUGGGAGAGAGGCUUGGGCGUGGCUGUCCCCACUCCAGCAGCAGCUGUCCUGCUCUUCUGCAGGAGUCAUUCAUUUUGGAGUCAAUGGGCUCGUCACCUGUGUAAAAGCUACUUAUGUUUUCUUUGAGGAUGCCGUGGAUAUAACUUUGAAAAUCCCAAGGCCACCCCAGGGUGGUAUGAAUCCAUGGCAGUUAAACAUAGCCAUAUAUAGGAUGCUGCCCCACAUCUGGGGAGUGAGUUUGUAGUUUCCUCCACGUAUGCCACACUGUGUCUCAGGAAAUACAGUACUACAGGGUGCCUUGUUUUCUUUUCAAUAUGUGAGCCUCUAACAUGUAGAAUACAAAACCAGUCCUGAUUUUCAUAAAGGUCCACGUAUUCAGCUUUAACAGACUUUUCUUCAGACUUGAGUUCCUGCAAAAAAAAUUCUCCUUUGUGAGCCAGGGUCUUGCUCUGUAGCCCAGGCUGGCCUUGAACUCACAGUGAUCAUCUUGCCUCAGCCUCCUGAGUGCUGGAUCACAGGCAUGUGGGACCAGAGCUGGUUCUUCCAUUUCAACCUAAGGGACUCCUCUACCCAAGGCAGGCCUAGUAGGAAGGACGGACAUUCUUCAGUGCUUGCAUCUAGGAAUGUCUGAGCUUUCCCCCUCAUUUUAAGGACAGUUUUGCUGGAUGUAAAAUGCUUAGUUGAGAGAGCUUUUUGUUUUGUUUCACUGUUUCAUUCACACAGCACAUGUCCACCUGUUUCCUUCUGUCCUCCUGUAACAGAAUAUCCCGCACCCCAGUCAGCAUACUGCAGUUUCUUAGUUGUCCAGGUAACAGUUCUGUCUCUAAGAAAUGGCUGGUCACUGUGAUGCCUAGCUGGUCACUGUGAUGCACACUGCAUAAACCAGCCCCAAUCAACAAGUCAUUUUGCCCCUGUACUCCCCACUUGCUUAUCCUAUACAGGCCUCAGACCAUCAGAAAUCAGGGCCUGAUAUUCUGGGAAUGUACCAAUCAGUGCCCGUUGGUGUAAAUAAAUGUGUCUCCAACUCUUGGGUGUCCUUUCUGUGACUGUGCUUGCCGCUGCUCUCCAAGGAUUUUGAGGAUAAGUCUAAUGACUAUGUUUUUGGGGAAUUGCUGUCAGCUGCACAGGCAUUAAUUUAUUUGUCAUAUUUUAUACACUGACCGUUACAUUAUUCUAAUGUAAGUAAAGUUGCAGCAUCACUUUGACACCAGUAAGAAUUAAGAGCAAAAGGAACUGGAGAUGCUGAGUGUAGACAUCAUGGGAUCUCUAAAUGUAAGAGGUAUUACAGAUGCUGAGAACAGAUUCUCAGAACAGAAACAAAAGGGAUAUUGAAGCAUCCUACAGGUUUGAAUUUCAAAAACUCAAGUGUCAAUCUCCAUAACUCACAUUAGUAAGACAUUUUGUAACAUUUUUCUGUUAGAAACAAAAGACCCUCAUGGCCAAGAGUGUGAGGGGUGAAGUGGAGGUGACCAGCUCUGCCUGGGCCCACUGGCACCAUGACUUCACAAGAUCCCCUGUGAGGUCACAGCAGAUAGCUGUAUAAGGUAGGGUUUUCAGCCCAGAGACCCUUUGUGGGUGAAGUGGAGUGGUGUUUGGAGAGUAGUUGGUGGUUGGAGAUUCGAAAUUUUGAUAAUUGAUUUUAUAAUGUCUAGUUCCAUCAAGGCAUCCUUUGUGGCAUGUAAAACAUCUUUGCUGGACAUCAUGUCAUCGUCCACAGAAAUGUCAUCGUCCACAGAAAUCUUCUGGGAAGACUAUGACAUGCUGUUGCCCCUUAGUGAGGGUAACUUUGCCACAGUAGUACUCACUGAACAUGUGAGCACAGGGAUGCUGGUAGUUGUGAAGGUACUUCACAAGAACAAGUUGGGGUCUACUGCUGUUAAACAGGAGGUCAGCAUUCUAAAGGACCUUCAGCACCCCAAUAUCAUUCAGUUGCUGGAAGUGUCAGAAAAUAGUACCUGUAUGUUCCUGGUGUUGGAGUAUGCGCGCGGAAAAGACCUGCAGCGCUUUAUCAAGUUUGCUGAGACACAGAAGCUGGAGGAAGAGAGGGCCCGGCUGAUAUUCCGAGAACUCCUGGAGGCUGUGCGGUACUGCCAUGACAGGGGGAUUGUCCAUGGGGACUUGAAACCAGCAAACAUAUUAAUGGACCGUGAAGGCCACCCCAAGCUCAGCGAUUUUGGCUUGGCUUUCAGGUUCCAUCCUGGCCAGGAGGUGACCGCGUGUGGAGGUACCCUAUACUAUUCCGCCCCUGAGGUAUUCUUAAAAGAGAAGUACCAAGGCCCACCACUGGACAUUUGGUCUUUAGGCGUAAUUUUAUAUGAAAUGAUCGCUGGGGUAAACCCAUUUAAUGGGAGCCAAGGACAAGGGAUAGAGAAUGCCCUGAAGGGGCGAUACCAGUUUCCCCAGCACUUCUCCAAAGAACUACAAAGUUUAAUAAAGGGUCUUCUCAACCCUGACCCAAGCAUGCGCCCUACCAUCGAGCAAGUAAGGCAGCAUCCAUGGCUUCGGCUGGAAUCUGUCCCUCGUCAUCCUCCUAAACUGCUCCCCAAAGCCACAGAAAGGGCAAUACUGCACAUUAUGGAUGGGAAGGGGUACAACCCGCUGAAGGUGAUCGAUGCAGUGAAGUGCAGAAAAUACGACCCUUACAUGGCGCCCUUCCUGCUACUACGGGGCAUGGCACACCGGAAAUUCCACUUCAGAUCUGAGGCGAAGCCCACACACAAACAUAAGGCUGAAGAUCUGUUUGAACAGCCCACAAACAAAGAUGAAAAUCGGCUAUCUUCAUCUCCUCCCCCUGUAGCUGCCCCACCAGCUAGGAGGGAGAGUGAGCCCUGCCUCUUCACUGGCCACUUCCUCCCCGAGGUGAAGCCUCUCAGCCAGCAAAGGAAGACAGUCUCCCUGCCAAUUGACAUCAGCAGGACUCCCCCUGCUCGCACAUCCUGCCAGCGCGGUCCAAACUUAGUUGGUACCUCUGGCCAGCCAGGCCCUGCUAAUCUCAUAGCAUCCCACAAACCAAGUUGUGCUGCUGCUACUACCAAGGCCUGCCAGCCCAGCCAUACUACUACCAUCAAGUCCUGCCAGCCAGGCCCUUCUACUCCCAAAGCAUCCCGUCAACCAAGCCCUGCUUCUCCCAUCAAGUCCUACCAUCCAGGACCUGCUACCCCUAAAGCAUCCCAUCAACCAAGCCCUGCUUCUCCCAUCAAGAAAAUCUUCCGUGCCUCUACUAGGCCAUGCUGGCAGCCCAACCCUGCCUCUCCCGGUGAGUCCUUCCAGCACAGCCCUGGGACUCCAAAUGCUGCCGUCACUGCUGCCCCAGCCCCUGUCAGCAGUAGGAGGUGGGGCUGGAAAACUGUCAAGAGAACCAUGAGAGACUGCCUGCAGGCCCUGUGCUGCUGCCCCGUAUCGACAUGCAAGUGUCACAAACACAAGGUGGUCCCAGUUGCAGAUCCAUGAUCCCUCCUAUGGACGUGGUCAUCCUGACAGCGAGGUCAGCCACACAAGUGGAAGCCACAAGAACAUGAAUUCACCUUCAGCCGGUUGUACCCCUUCCCAGCCAUAAUGUGCCCUUUCUGUGGCUUUGGGGAGCAGUUGAGGAGGACGACAAGGGACAGAUUCAAGCUGAAGCCAUGGAUGCUGCCUUACUUGCUCUAAGGUAGGGCGCAUGCUUGGGUCAGGGUUGAGAAGCCCCUUGAUUAAGCUUUGCACCUCUUUGGAGAAGUGCUGGGGAAACUGGUAUCGCCCCUUUAGGGCAUUCUUUGUCAACUGUGUUUUGCUCCUCCUGACAUAGUAGGUCAGGAGUUUCACUCCCCUAUAUCAUUUGGAGGUCUUCCACUGAGAUCAUUGGAAAGAGGUGAGAAUUUGCUUUUGCUUCAUAGACUCUCAAGUGGGACUUAUUUAGGUAACAAAUUUUUAUGCCUCCAACUUUGCUUUUAUAUUUGCCAGUUACUUUUGAUAAUUGCUUGCUAUUUGCCCGUUGUUUUAAAGUGCUUUGUCUCAUAUAGUUUUAUUAAAAUAAUGUAAAUCAGCUGGGCAUGGUGGCUCAUAUCUGGAAUCCCAGCACUCAGGAGGCUAG